AACGAACGCUGGCGGCAGGCUUAACACAUGCAAGUCGAGCGCCCCGCAAGGGGAGCGGCAGACGGGUGAGUAACGCGUGGGAAUCUACCCAUCUCUACGGAAUAACGCAUGGAAACGUGUGCUAAUACCGUAUACGUCCUGCGGGAGAAAGAGUUAUCGGAGUUGGAUGAGCCCGCGUUGGAUUAGCUAGUUGGUGGGGUAAAGGCCUACCAAGGGGACUAUCCAUAGCUGGUCUGAGAGGCUGAUCAGCCACACUGGGACUGAGACACGGCCCAGACUCCUACAGGAGGCAGCAGUGGGGAAUAUUGGACAAUGGGCGCAAGCCUGAUCCAGCCAUGCCGCGUGAGUGAUGAAGGCCCUGGGGUUGUAAAGCUCAUUCACCGGUGAAGAUAAUGACGGUAACCGGAGAAGAAGCCACGGCUAACUUCGUGCCAGCAGCCGCCGUAAUAC
rnacentral:rRNA from 1 species